GGGGAUUUAGUUCAGCGGCAUAAGCGCCUGCCUUGCAAGCAGGCAGUCGUCAAUCCCCG
rnacentral:tRNA from 1 species